CCUGAACCGAGAACGGAAAAAAAAGAGAGGUUCGUGGUCUCCUGGGUAGAUUGAACUACAUGUCAUGGUUCACAUCUCACCUAACAGCCACGUGUGAACCGAUUUUCAAGUUGUUGAAAAGAGAUCAAACGGUCAGGCGAAAUAAUGAUUGCCAAGGGGCAUUGAAAAUAAAAGAAUAAGUUGCAGGAACCUCUGAUUCUGAUACCUUCUGUGAAAGGAACGAUUGUUAAUCUGGUACUUGACAGCCUUCGAG
rnacentral:lncRNA from 1 species